rnacentral:rRNA from 2 species
UGGAGAGUUUGAUCCUGGCUCAGAUUGAACGCUGGCGGCAGGCCUAACACAUGCAAGUCGAGCGGCAGCACGGGUACUUGUACCUGGUGGCGAGCGGCGGACGGGUGAGUAAUGCCUAGGAAUCUGCCUGGUAGUGGGGGAUAACGCUCGGAAACGGACGCUAAUACCGCAUACGUCCUACGGGAGAAAGCAGGGGACCUUCGGGCCUUGCGCUAUCAGAUGAGCCUAGGUCGGAUUAGCUAGUUGGUGAGGUAAUGGCUCACCAAGGCGACGAUCCGUAACUGGUCUGAGAGGAUGAUCAGUCACACUGGAACUGAGACACGGUCCAGACUCCUACGGGAGGCAGCAGUGGGGAAUAUUGGACAAUGGGCGAAAGCCUGAUCCAGCCAUGCCGCGUGUGUGAAGAAGGUCUUCGGAUUGUAAAGCACUUUAAGUUGGGAGGAAGGGCAGUUACCUAAUACGUAAUUGUUUUGACGUUACCGACAGAAUAAGCACCGGCUAACUCUGUGCCAGCAGCCGCGGUA